UCCCUGUUGGCUCAGAUAGUAGAGAAUCUGCCUGCAAUGCAGGAGACCUGGGUUUGAUCCCCAGGUCAGGAG
rnacentral:tRNA from 1 species